UACGUAGGGGGCAAGCGUUGUCCGGAUUUAUUGGGCGUAAAGAGCGCGUAGGCGGCUCGUUAAGUGUGAAGUGAAAUCUCCAGGGCUCAACCCGGAAACUGCUUCGCAUACUGGCGAGCUGGAGUGACGAAGAGGUUUGUGGAAUUCCUGGUGUAGCGGUGAAAUGCGUUGAUAUCAGGAGGAACACCGAUGGCGAAGGCAGCAAACUGGUCGUCAACUGACGCUGAGGCGCGAAAGCGUGGGUAGCAAACAGG
rnacentral:rRNA from 1 species